rnacentral:rRNA from 1 species
AUGAGGAUUAGCUUAUACGCUGAUGAUGCUGUGAUCUUCGCCAACCCAAUCAAAGAGAAAGUCGACUCGCUUCUGCAGCUCCUCAAUCUUUUUGAGGACGCCUCUGGUCUUCGCUUAAACCAAAACAAAUCUUCGGUGGCCAUGAUUAGGUGCAACAAUGUAGAUCUCGCUGACGUGCUGCGUAGUUUUGGCGGCUCCGUAGUAGGUUUCCCUAUGACUUACCUAGGCCUCCCGGUCUCCACUGGUAGAAUCCGUUUAGUACAUCUGCAGUUCCUUCUGGAUAGAAUUAGGGCUCGCCUUGCAGGAUGGAAGGGUAGACUCAUGAACCUUGCGGGACGCAGAAUCCUCGUCCGUAGCGUGCUGUCAACGCUGCCAACAUAUGCAAUGACAGUAAUGAGGCUCCCAAAAAAGCUGUUGAAGGACAUUGACAAGGCCAGGUGA